rnacentral:lncRNA from 1 species
GAAAGAGCACAUGAAAUAUUUAACAAUAUCAGGAACCAUCCUAGCAGAUUAUUAAGAGAAUUGACUAACUACGACGAAAACCAAAGAACGGUACAUAGACGGCCUAGACAGCAGUUAGCUGGAUAUAGAGGAAACCCUUAAGAAUGAAAAAUUGAGAUAACCACAGAAUAUCGAAACACAAAUGUCGCCCUUCAGGCACUAAGUACCCUUCAGGUAGGUCAAAUGGACCAUAGCCGCGGAAUGUGAGCAUCAAGGUCACGUACCGACAGACGUGGGCUUGAUGGCCACACCUUUCGGGCGCUCAGCCGUCGAGGAGAACAAAAUUUAUUUUGCCAAUUCGCCGGCUGAGUGACCGAGCACACACGGUCUGGACAGCAAGACACCGAUUUAGAUUGGUGCCUUGAUGUCCGGAACACAUUUUUUUAGGACUCAAGUCCAAAGUAAAG